rnacentral:rRNA from 1 species
CCAAUAGCGUAUAUUAAAGUUGUUGCAGUUAAAAAGCUCGUAGUUGAAUUUCGGGAUCAGUUGGUCGGUCGUGCCUCGGUACGUACUGGUCAAAUUGAUUCCUACCUUCUGACGAACCACGAUGUCAUUAAUUUGGUGUCGCGGGAAAUCAGGACUGUUACUUUGAAAAAAUUAGAGUGUUUAAAGCAGGCUCGCGCUUGAAUACAUUAGCAUGGAAUAAUGGAAUAGGACGUUUGAUUCUAUUUUGUUGGUUUCUAGGAUCGACGUAAUGAUUAAUAGGGAUAGUUGGGGGCAUUAGUAUUCAAUUGUCAGAGGUGAAAUUCUUGGAUUUAUUGAAGACUAACUACUGCGAAAGCAUUUGCCAAGGAUGUUUUCAUUAAUCAAGAACGAAAGUUAGGGGAUCGAAGACGAUCAGAUACCGUCGUAGUCUUAACCAUAAACUAUGCCGACUAGGGAUCGGAUGAUGUUAAUUUUUUAAUGACUCAUUCGGCGCCUUACG